rnacentral:rRNA from 1 species
AUUGAACGCUGGCGGCAUGCUUUACACAUGCAAGUCGAACGGUAACAGGCCGGCAGGUGCUGACGAGUGGCGAACGGGUGAGUAAUGCAUCGGAACGUGCCCAGUCGUGGGGGAUAACGCAGCGAAAGCUGCGCUAAUACCGCAUACGAUCUAUGGAUGAAAGCGGGGGGCCGUAAGGCCUCGCGCGAUUGGAGCGGCCGAUGUCAGGUUAGCUAGUUGGUGGGGGAAAGGCCCACCAAGGCGACGAUCUGUAGCUGGUCUGAGAGGACGACCGGACACACUGGGAGUGGGACACGGCGAAGAGUCCGACGGAAGGCAGCAGUGGGGCAUUUUGGACAAUGGGCGAAAGCCGGAACCAGCAAUGCCGCGUGCAGGAAGAAGGCCUUCGGGUUGUAAACUGCUAUUGUACGGAACGAAACGGUCUUGGUUAAUACCCUGGGCUAAUGACGGUACCGUAAGAAUAAGCACCGGCUAACUACGUGCCAGCAGCCGCAGUAA